UCGAGACCUCUACAAAUACUCAGCCCUGCCACUUCCACACUGCCAGAUUGUAAUCUCUGCUCAUUCUGCCCGCUCUGACUCUGAUCCCAUUCUCCUGUCCCACGUCUCGUCAUCCUGCUACUCUGUCCUGGAUUCCCCACUCUACUACUCCCUCCGGACCUGCUUACCCUGUCUCGACCCAUCUCGCUCCAGCCUCAGCCUCCGCACCUGGUUUCCAGCAACCCGCCCGAGCAUCCCCUGACCUGCACUCCAUCCCCCACCUGGGGUUCAAUAAAUAUUUUGGUUACUUCA